rnacentral:rRNA from 1 species
CUUUACUGUAGCUUGAAAUUGAAUUCGGGUUUAUCAUGCGCAGCAUAGGUGGGAGGCUAAGAUAAUAUGUUUGCGGAUGUAUAGGAGCCAACAGUGAGAUACCACUCUUGAUAGGCUAGAUUUCUAAUUCUAUAUUCCAUUAUCUGGAUAGAAGACAGUUUCAGGUAGGCAGUUUGACUGGGGCGGUCGCCUCCUAAAAAGUAACGGAGGCGCGCAAAGGUUUCCUCAGACUGGUUGGAAAUCAGUCGUAGAGUGUAAAGGUAUAAGGAAGCUUGACUGCAAGACUUACAAGUCGAGCAGAGACGAAAGUCGGCCUUAGUGAUCCGACAGUACCGAGUGGAAGGGCUGUCGCUCAACGGAUAAAAGUUA